CACGUAGUUAGCCGUGGCUUAUUCGAGGGGUACCGUCUUCUGCUCUUCCCCCUUAAAAGAAGUUUACAACCCGAAAGCCUUCUUCCUUCACGCGGCGUUGCUGGGUCAGACUUGCGUCCAUUGCCCAAUAUUCCCCACUGCUGCCUCCCGUAGGAGUCUGGGCCGUAUCUCAGUCCCAAUGUGGCCGGCCAACCUCUCAGUCCGGCUACUGAUCGUCGCCUUGGUGGGCCGUUACCUCACCAACUAGCUAAUCAGACGCGAGGCCAUCUUCCAGCGAUAAAUCUUUGACGUCGGAGUCAUGCGGCUCCAACGCAUCAUGCGGUAUUAGCAGUCGUUUCCAACUGUUGUCCCCCUCUGGAAGGCAGGUUCCUCACGCGUUACUCACCAGUCCGCCACUAAGCAUUCCCAUCCGUUGUCCGAAAACUCCUUCAGGGGUGCUCCGUUCGACUUGCAUGUGUUAAGCACGCCGCCAGCGUUCGUCCUGAGCCAGGAUCAAACUCU
rnacentral:rRNA from 1 species